ACCACUCUCCUUUCCACCCAUUCAGGCUCAGAAUAGGCUGUAGAUAGCUGAUUUCAUCGAGGUUACCAUUGGAUUUGCAUCCUCCAAACUGUAGGUUCACAGUCUUCCUUACUUUUAGUUAUUCGAGGGCCCACUGGUUACUGUAAAUUAAAUUAAAUACUCUGGCUUACUGUAUUACAGUAUGUAUGAAUUUAUUUUGCUUUUACGCUGCUACAAAAAUUAUUUACGUAUAACUCUUAAAAUAUUGUUUUAUAAGAAAAUAAAAUAUUUUAUUGAAUAUUUCUUUUAUUUUUUUAUUAUAUCCAAAUAAUCAUAAUUUCAUUUUAAAUGAAGGUUUUAGAUGUUUAAACUUAUUUUUUAUUAUGAAUUAUGUGUUUUGUACUCACAUAGUACAUUUUUAGCGGAUUUCGAGAUUUUUGAGGAAAAAUGACCAAAAUGCUCUUGUGAGAAAAAAAAUGUUUUUCUAUUGCUUUGAUUUGGAAAUAGUUUAUAAUCUCUCAAAACAUAAUUUUAGUGACUAAUACUCACAAGGGAAGCGAGAAAAACUAAUGUUAAGCCUUGCGAGGUUUCGAUUGACAUUUCGAGUAAUAAAUGUCUAUCGGGAGGUCACGGCAGUUGUCACGAGCUUGAUGGGAGUUCCGAGUUGUGACAGUUUUUCUAUAAAAUGCAUGGGAACAAGCCUUUAGUGAAAUAUUUUUGGUGAUGUGGAACAUGAUUAUGAUGAAUCUCUGUACCUUUAUAUGAUGCUGAUGUGUAUAUAAAAAUAUAUGAUAUGUAUUGCUAAGUAAUUUUGUGUAAUUGAUGUAACCGUGCAUGUGCGGAGUGGGCAGUGCAUAUGCCAGUUGAAUGAUGAUGUUGUGACAACUACAAUCGUGCAUAUGCGGAGUGAGUAGUGCAUAUGCCGGUCGAAUGAUGAUGUUGUGACACUUACAACUGUGCAUGUGCGGAGUGGGCAGUGCACAUGCCGGUAAUGAUGUGCGUGUGGGGAGUGCAUGUUGGCUGAAAGAGGUGGUGGUAUUCGU
rnacentral:lncRNA from 1 species